CCAUUUUCUCUACCUGAGUAAGUCAUCGUUGUCUGGAAUUCUCUCGUUUUCUUCGCAGGCAGUAUACUGCCCACUGGCCCACCACCUCAGGGGAACGAUGGCCACAGAGUCUACAGCCACUGCUGCCAUCGCCGCGGAACUGGUUUCCGCUGACAAAGUUGAAGAUGCUCCUGCUCCUUCUACCUCUGCAGAUAAAAUGGAGAGUCUGGAUGUGGAUAGUGAAGCUAAGAAACUACUGGGAUUAGGACAGAAACAUCUGGUGAUGGGUGACAUUCCAGCAGCUGUUAAUGCAUUCCAAGAAGCAGCUAGUCUUUUAGGUAAGAAGUAUGGAGAAACGGCUAAUGAGUGUGGAGAAGCCUUCUUUUUUUAUGGGAAGUCACUUCUGGAGUUGGCCAGAAUGGAGAAUGGAGUGUUGGGAAAUGCCUUAGAAGGAGUGCAUGUAGAAGAGGAAGAAGGAGAAAAAACAGAAGAUGAAUCUUUGGUAGAAAAUAAUGAUAAUGUAGAUGAGGAAGCAAGGGAAGAGUUGAGAGAACAGGUUUAUGACGCCAUGGGAGAAAAAGAAGCCAAAAAAGCAGAAGGCCAGUCUCUGACAAAGCCUGAAACUGAUAAAGAACAGGAAAGUGAAGUGGAGAAGGGUGGAAGAGAAGAUAUGGAUAUAAGUGAGCCUGCAGAGAAGCUCCAGGAAAAAGUUGAAUCGACUUCAAAGCAGUUAACUGAAUCCUCUGAAGAGGCAAAAGAAGCAGCAAUACCAGGACUGAAUGAAGAUGAGGUCACUUCUGGGAAGACAGAACAGGAAUCAUUGUGUACUGAGGAAGGAAAAUCCAUUUCUGGAGUUUAUGUUCAAAAUAAAGAAUUCAGAGAAGCAGUGCCUCAGGAGGAGGGAGAGGAAAUGAUAAGCUUAGAAAAAAAGCCAAAAGAAACUUCAGAAGAUCAGACUAUUGGGGCUCCAGAAAAGCAGGACACUUUAAUGAAGGUGGUAGAAAUAGAAGCUGAAAUAGACUCUGAAGUCAAGUCAGUGGAUGUGGGUGGGGAGAGCCAGACAACAGCAGAAGGGACAGUGGACUCUGCAGCUACAGUUAAAAGCACUGCAUGUUAAGAGGCGAGCAGAACCUUCCUCCUGAGGGAAAGUGGUUUUGUACAUAAUGUAUUUUUUCACUUUUGGGGAUUCUUUUUGUAUAACUCCAAUAAAGAUUGUAGGCAACAGCUGAGACUUUGAUGGCUUUUUUCUUAAAAAUAUUGGUGGAUUGUUUUGGGGCACUCUAUAUUGUGUAUACAUGCCUUGUGUUUUGCUACUGCACAACCCACUUCCUGUCUAAUGUGGAGGUGAUCAAGUUGAUCAAGGCCCUUCAUCUACUGGUGCUAUGUUUCUAUUUCCAAAUAUUUGGCUGAAUUCAAAUACCUUGUAAGCUUUCCAUGGUGCUGUCCCUGGAUGGGGUCUGCUAAACAAGAACUGGUAGAAAUCAGUUUGGUGCUGAAAAUGGAGCAUGGAAUAUGACCCAGGUCUUGGUUUGUGCCUACCUUCUGUUCACCUGGUUUCCAUUUAAGGCCAUAAUAUCCUGCCCUGGCAAAACUGGCAGAAACAUGGGAAAUGAUUCCUGAGGAAAACUGUUGUUAGAUACUCCGUAGGAUCACACUGUAGUGGGAGACAAGUAGAAGACUAUGAUUGAGAAGUCUGUUACGUUAUUUUCUGUAUAGAAAGAUUACAAUAUGUCAAUAAGUGGAAUUGUUAUAUUGUGCAGUUUUGUCUAUAAAAAUAAAUAUGCUAAUUUUAAC
rnacentral:lncRNA from 1 species